rnacentral:rRNA from 1 species
GACGAACGCUGGCGGCGUGCCUAAUACAUGCCAGUUGAGCGCUGAAGGUUGGUACUUGUACCAACUGGAUGAGCAGCGGACGGGUGAGUAACGCGUGGGGAAUCUGCCUUUGAGCGGGGGACAACAUUUGGAAACGAAUGCUAAUACCGCAUAAAAACUUUAAACACAAGUUUUAAGUUUGAAAGAUGCAAUUGCAUCACUCAAAGAUGAUCCCGCGUUGUAUUAGCUAGUUGGUGAGGUAAAGGCUCACCAAGGCGAUGAUACAUAGCCGACCUGAGAGGGUGAUCGGCCACAUUGGGACUGAGACACGGCCCAAACUCCUACGGGAGGCAGCAGUAGGGAAUCUUCGGCAAUGGACGAAAGUCUGACCGAGCAACGCCGCGUGAGUGAAGAAGGUUUUCGGAUCGUAAAACUCUGUUGGUAGAGAAGAACGUUGGUGAGAGUGGAAAGCUCAUCAAGUGACGGUAACUACCCAGAAAGGGACGGCUAACUACGUG